ACAACAAGGGCAAAACGAGUCUCUCCUUUGCCUGGGUGUCCAAGGGAGGUUUAGAAGCUCCAGGAAGGGCGGAAUUCACUUGGGAAUCUCCAGGUUUUGUGAGGCAGCUCCCUCCCUGCCUCGUGCCACACUGCAUCACAUCUGAACGAGGGUUUUGCAUUAUAUAUUAGCACAGAUCUGUCCUCAGUUACCCUACUCCGGGAGAAGACCAUUUUUAAAUCUUUAAUAGGGCAUUAGAGCAAUUUGCCUGUGAUUUAGUUUUAAGUGGGCAAGGAGAGUGGUGACAAACGAAGCCGGGAGGCCCUGGAAUUCUUUGAAUAUUCCAUGUUUUCCUGGAACUGUUGGGAAGAGGCUGCCAGAAAGGUCUUGGCAGGUCUUCUAGGUGGCUGGCCAAGUCUGAAGCAAACGUGGAUGGUUAACAGGCUAAAUGCAGCUCUGGUUCCAAGUCCCUACGUAUAUAACAUACGUUUUUAUUUAAGAAAUCCCACCACAUGGAGGAGCAAAUGUAGUGCUAAUAUAUAUAUAUAUAUCUUCCUGAAAGAAAACAGCAAAGGGGAAAAAACCCUGUCAUCUCGUAACAAUAAAAUGAAGGAUCUUUUUUGCCCUUGCUUUUUUAGGGACUUGGGUUGUCGGUUGAAGGAGAGAAGUGGUAGGAAAUGAAAUCAGGAGACAGGCAGUGGCUUUCCCACGAGGGCCCCACAUUAAUCAGGAAUGGCUUAUGGAGCAAUAGUUGGUGUCUGAGGAAAGAGGCAGAAGUUGUUCGAAGAAUGGAUUUCCGUUGCUAGAUUGACUUUUUUUUGUUGUUGCCAUGCAAGUAAUUAAAAAUGGCAAUUAAGCAGGAAAAGUGAUCAGAUGGUCACUCGGGACCUGCUGCUGCAGUUGGGUCCGUGUGGACAAUCAGUUCAAGAGGGAAACAGGAGGGACCACCUGUGUGGGUCAGAUAAUGAGAAUUAGGGGCUGUUACUGAAUCAUCCCCAAGUGUAGGUCGGGAUGGGAGGGGUUUCUCUGUGCACCAGGGUUGGGAUCAUGGUUCUGUUUGGUCCCAGGGAUUUGGUGUUUGCUCUGGUGGCUGCUGGAAGUUGCUCCUGGGAAACACGAGGUGGGAUUUCGUAGAGACACCAAGCAGGUGAAUUAGCUUUGCCACUUUAAUAUUGUCUCCACUGCGAGGGAUCCUGGUUUGUGUACAGCUCCUGGGGCUUGUCCUGUUUUAUUAUUAAUGGGGCAAAGCCUCUACCCUCAGAGUGAAACAAUUUAUUUUUCUUUAUUAAACCAUUGGUGCAGACCCUGAAGUUGUGCCCUGGACUCCCUGUGGGGUCUUGGAUGAGUCACUUAUUUUUCUUCAAUUUUAUUCCCUGCCUAUAAAGUAGAGGUCCUUGUUCCUCAUAAGGAGUGUUGCAAAGAGAGAGGAACUGGUCAUGUGUGAGUUGCUGAGAGUCAGUCAUGUUGGAAUUGCAAGUGAAGGAAUAUUUCUGAUGGGCUACCUUUGUGCUGACAGCCAUUCAUUGGUUCCACAGAGUUAAAGCUGACCAUGGCUAUAAUCUAACAGCAUUUUUAUAAGUAGAGUCAACUUGAAAAGGUUAUCAUUACGCUUGAAAAAUCCUAAAGAAUGUUAUUUAUUAUCAUAGCAAGUUAGGUAACCUGUUAGAGUUUUAUAUUAUCACAGUAAGUUAAGCAACCUGUUCAUGUUAUUUACUAUCACAGUAAGUACGAUAUUUGGGUUUUACUGUUUGCUUUCACCUCUUCCUCUCUCAUGAAAGUGUUCUGCUGUCUUUUUGCAUUAUAGAAAGCAGUGUCUCUGGGUUUAGGGUGCAGCAGAGCCUGCAGUGCAGCGUUAAGUGAUGCAGAAGUGUGGAUGGCACCGGGAGCUGCUGCGCCUGCUCCUGCUGCUAUUUCUGGCAGGCGGGGACCGAGCGGCGUCUGAUGGGCCAAAUGGAAGAACUGAAAAAAGUCCACAGUGAAUUCCUGGAGGAGAUGGGAAAAGAUCUGUGGACUGCAGGCCCUCAAUCUCUGAAUUACAAUCUCUCCUUUACAGGUGACCCCAGCACUCCUUUCCUAUUGAAAUACAAUUCAUUCUAGCUCUGCUUUUAGUCUCAUGGAUAUCUAACUUUAAUUUAAUUUUCUACUUUUCCUGCCUGCUCAGAUUCCCAAAAUGUCCCUGACCUUUCUGCAUGUUUCUGAAGUUGAAUUUGGGUUCAGCAGUUUAGGCUCUCAUUGAACAGCCUCAACAGGGCGUCAGGAGGGGAUGACAAAAGCAGUCUGGACACAGCAGCUCUGCCAAGGACCUCGAUCACUCCCAGGGCACGGUGAGCAUUGUUGUGGGGCUUCUGUGUUAUGGGCAAGCAAGGUAAGAAGUGAUUUUAUCACUAACUUGAUGUGGAACUGGCCAGGGGUCUAAAAAACAGCAAGGUUCAAAUUUUGGUUGUCAGGCUCCUCGCUUUGUGGAGUGAUGUUCUGGAAAUAUCCCAGUCGUGACACUUUUGCCCAGUUUUGCUGUCCUUGGAUGUGCCCCCACACUGUGAAUUUGCACCAUUCCUCACAUCAUUAGAAUCCUUCACUUGUGCUUUUUAGUCCCCUGAAGGCAUUUUUAUUAAUUUGUAAACUAUUCUCAUGUAUUCUGCCCCUAUAGCUGAGCUGUCUUAUUUUAAAGAUAUUUCUGAAGUAAUCUCUGUACAGUUUGCCUAGAGUGAAGUUAUUGACUUGUCUCAAAAAGGCCUUAAGGUUUUAUAGUUAAUGCUUAAGUCCCUAAAGCUUCCUCCCUGGCUGAACAUUCCUUCUCCUAUGAAUUGCUAAUUCCAAUUGAUCUGAGGAAAAAAAAAAAAUAGUAAUAGUUUGUAUUUUCUCUGCUUUCUGCUCUAACUGCUCACCUACCAAGGUCUCUUCUUGCUUUGAUCCCUUCUCUGUGAUUAAAUCCAUUCUUCCUUUCUGUUUUCCAGCUUCUCUCUGCAAACUUGCUCUCACUGCACUUCUACGAGAACUUCUCCUGCAAACCAGGUCCCUGAGAGGAUCAGUGAGGGGGAGACCAAUUUAUUUAUAUUUAUUUAUAAACGAGCUGCAGAGACUUGGCCCCUUUUUAAACAUAAGAACAAUUUUCGGGCCUCUUUCAGUUGUGGUUAUUUCACUCAAAA